AGCUUGUCACACUGCAGGAAAUGGUCUGUAUGAAGGUGGAACAUGUUUUAAAACAGUCAUGAAUGGAGCAGUUGAAGUGUCUGAGUCACUCGUGGUGCAGUUGGGACUCAUCUGGCACCACAGCCCUCCAGGAACAUGUCUCCAGCAUUUGGACUGGACUGAGCAAGGAUGUCCCAGGGCAUCCCUCCAGCCCCAGCUGGCUGCUCUGGUUUCCCUGCAGGUCCUUAGGGUCACCUCACUCCAUCCCAAGCAUAUGCUGGUCCUGACAUGCCUGGCAUGAGCAGUGUAGGAGCACAUGCUGCCCCUGGUCAUCUCUCCUGGUGAUGCUAGGGCCACACAGGUAUCUGCUGAGCACCACGAGAAGCAUUUCACAGCUGUUACCUUGUAUGUCCUGGGGUUAUGGGUCAGGAGAAGGCUGAAUGUGCAGCUCCCAGGUACCUGCAGGCCACCAUCCAUUGGAGCCACAUAGCCUGCUGUUGUUUGGUGAGUUGUGUGCUCAUCAGUUGGGCUGGGAAGAGCAGUUAAUGAAGAAGCACAUGUGCAGUGUUCACAGACUGUCCUUCAACAGGCACCCUGUGCAGAACAGAGAACAGGAAAACAAAACGAGCAGAAGCUGCUCUUUCUUCUUUCCCAGGACAUCCUGUCCUGGCCACCCCCAUUCCACUGCGAGCCCCAACUCCAGGACCUGGGAAUGUGCCCAGAAACCUGGACAGCCAUCCAUCCCCAGGGAAGCAGACUGGAAGGUGCCACCUCUUUGGUGUCCAUGUGAGACUUCAUACUAUGCUUUGGUCCCAGAGGAACUGCCCAUCACCUGAGAUGGGGAUGGUCCAUCACAUGAAGAGCUGCAGCCCCAGGCCUGGGUUUUGCUGGAGGCUCUGAGCAUGACUUUCCAGCAGUGAAGGAGCACGGAGGAGUUUACCUGGAGCACCCUGAGAAUGACCACAGCCAGAAGAUGACCUCACUUGAAAGAAAUCUGGGUGUUAUAUUUACACUUCUCUGACAAAAGGACCCAUUUCCCAAAGAUGAGGGUGGUAUGAACAUUUUGCAUUCAUUACAAAAAAAUUGUCUGACUUCUAUAUUUAGAA